rnacentral:rRNA from 1 species
GAUGAACGCUGGCGGCGUGCUUAAUACAUGCAAGUCGAACGAAGCACCUUGGACAGAAUCCUUCGGGAGGAAGACCAUUGUGACUGAGUGGCGGACGGGUGAGUAACGCGUGGGUAACCUGCCUUGUACAGGGGGAUAACAGUUGGAAACGACUGCUAAUACCGCAUAAGCGCACAGUACCGCAUGGUACGGUGUGAAAAACUCCGGUGGUACAAGAUGGACCCGCGUCUGAUUAGCUUGUUGGUGAGGUAACGGCCCACCAAGGCGACGAUCAGUAGCCGACUUGAGAGAGUGAUCGGCCACAUUGGGACUGAGACACGGCCCAAACUCCUACGGGAGGCAGCAGUAGGGAAUAUUGCACAAUGGGGGAAACCCUGAUGCAGCGACGCCGCGUGAAGGAAGAAGUAUUUCGGUAUGUAAAACUCUAUCAGCAGGGAAGAUAAUGACGGUACCUGACUAAGAAGCACCGGCUAAAUACGUGCCAGCAGCCGC